rnacentral:rRNA from 1 species
AUUGAACGCUGGCGGCAGGCUUAACACAUGCAAGUCGAGCGGGGUGAUGGUGCUUGCACUAUCACUUAGCGGCGGACGGGUGAGUAAUGCUUAGGAAUCUGCCUAUUAGUGGGGGACAACAUCUCGAAAGGGAUGCUAAUACCGCAUACGUCCUACGGGAGAAAGCAGGGGAUCACUUGUGACCUUGCGCUAAUAGAUGAGCCUAAGUCGGAUUAGCUAGUUGGUGGGGUAAAGGCCUACCAAGGCGACGAUCUGUAGCGGGUCUGAGAGGAUGAACCGCUACACUGGGACUGAGACACGGCCCAGAGUCCUACGGGAGGCAGCAGUGGGGAAUAUUGGACAAUGGGGGGAACCCUGAUCCAGCCAUGCCGCGUGUGUGAAGAAGGCCUUAUGGUUGUAAAGCACUUUAAGCGAGGAGGAGGCUCUUUUGGUUAAUACCCAAGAUGAGUGGACGUUACUCGCAGAAUAAGCACCGGCUAGCUCUGUGCCAGCCGCCGCGGUAA